AAUAGAUACCCCGGUAGUCCACGCCGUAAACGAUGAGUGCUAAGUGUUAGAGGGUUUCCGCCCUUUAGUGCUGCAGCUAACGCAUUAAGCACUCCGCCUGGGGAGUACGGUCGCAAGACUGAAACUCAAAGGAAUUGACGGGGGGCCCGCACAGGCGGUGGAGCAUGUGGUUUAAUUCGAAGCAACGCGAAGAACCUUACCAGGUCUUGACAUCCCACUGACCGGUAUAGAGAUAUACCUUUCCCUUCGGGGACAGUGGUGACAGGUGGUGCAUGGUUGUCGUCAGCUCGUGUCGUGAGAUGUUGGGUUAAGUCCCGCAACGAGCGCAACCCUUGAUCUUAGUUGCCAGCAUUUAGUUGGGCACUCUAAGGUGACUGCCGGUGACAAACCGGAGGAAGUGGGGAUGACGUCAAAUCAUCAUGCCCCUUAUGACCUGGGCUACACACGUGCUACAAUGGAUGGUACAAAGGGCUGCAAGACUGCGAAGUCAAGCCAAUCCAUAAACCGAUUCUCAGUUCGGAUUGCAGG
rnacentral:rRNA from 1 species